CGGCGAUGGAUUUUUGUGAAGUACAAGUGCUUGUCUGUGAUGCUGGCACCUUUGGUAAUGGCUGCAAUACGUUCUGUCACUGUCGAAAUGGACCGUGUAGCUAUGUAACUGGAGAAUGCACAGGAGGAUGUAAACCAAACUGGAGUGGACAGACGUGUAGUGUGUGUGAUUCUAACCACUAUGGUCCUCUGUGUGAGAAAUCGUGCUCCAGCAGACACUGUGACGAGGCACGUGGUAAAGCAUCAUGUAACAAAACGACUGGAAAAUGUGAAAACGGAUGCACAGCGGGAUGGGUGGGAGAAGACUGUUUAAAGGCGUGUGACCCUGGCUCUUUUGGAAAGGGGUGCACUCAGUUCUGCCACUGUCGAGAUGGACCGUGUAACUAUGUGACUGGAGAAUGUACUGGAGGAUGUAAACCAAACUGG